ensembl:lncRNA
AUAAGGGCCAGCGUGUCUUGGUCGUAAGCUCUUUCCUGAGAUGGACUGCUGAGUUGUCAGGGAUCGCUAGUUGGGCAAGUUCUAACUCCUCUUUCUUAACAUGACUGUUGGCCUACCUGUCAAUACUUUGCCUUGUAUUGCCAAGAACCUGUCAGAAGCAAUUCUGCUUCUUUGUGAGUAGAACAACUGUGCGAGACAUGAGACAACUGAACAACUGUUCAGUUACUGUCCUUACGAUUAAUCUAUUUAAUGAGAUACUAGUACUACAGAAUUGGUGACCUUUACAUAGUCUUCAUGGAGUAUCACUGAAGUAAUUAGGGUAAGGAAUAUUUUUUAGGAUAUGAUUUUAGGGGGGCAACAGUGAUCAAUUCCUAACAGUUUCUGUGUGCAUUAACCCAGCCCCUGGGAGUACACCAAGCCAGGAAUGUGGCAAACAGGACAUGGCAUGUCAGAUGGGCAUCAUGCAGGCAGUUUCUCCUUGAGGGGAAGCAAGCAGGGAGGGUGUGGACUCCCCACUCAGGAGACUGGCUCACCUAUCAGCUGCCUCCCAGACAACAAAUCUGGCUGUGGUUUCCACGUGGCAGAAAGCUCCUGACAAAAAGAACAUGGUGACUCAGAUGGUGUGCCUGAGCGUGUUGCUGCCAGCGGAGGGCAGCAGGGAUAUCACCUGUGUGAGGUGUGAGCAUGUGGAUGAUCUGCUUGGUAUGGUGGCGGAGCUUGAGUAGGCAGAGAGGUUAAGGAGCUUCAGGCAGUGCGAGCAGGAGAUAGACUGGUGGAGUGACUCCCUGCCAUACUUGCAAGACAGGCACUGGGGUGAGACUCCUCCAAACAGUGUUGGAUACCCUGCUCUGCCACCAUUGGGCAGAGGAAAGGGAUUUAUGAGAUGAGGAGGGAGGGAAACAGGUCCCAGCUCAGCAUAGCAGGCAAACCCCAUCCCUAUCUACCUCAAUUCCCAAGUGCCCCUACAUACUAGGUUUGAAGCUCUGGAACUCAAGGGAGAUGUAAGUGAGGAUGUGAUGGAAGGUCCAUCCAGGAGGUUGCCCAGGGUGAGGUGGUUGACUCCACACCACAAGACUGCUGUCACUGAGGAGGAAAGAAGUAGGUAUUUGUCAUAGGUGACUCCCUUCUAAGGGCCCAUAUGUUGGCCAGACCCUACCUGUAGGGAAGUGUGCUACCUCCCUGGGGCCCAGGUCAGAGACAUUACUAGGAGGCCGUUCAUUCUUGGCAGUCUGUUACUGUCCAUUUUAUUACACUGUUUUGUAGACUUUGUAACUGGCAUAAUGGUUUGAGACAUCUUCCAUUAUGUUCCAUAUAAGAAAGUAUUCUAAUUCAGAAAUACCACUGCUGUCCUCCACUGUUUUCACAAUAAAAUUU